rnacentral:snRNA from 1 species
AUCGCUUCUCGGCCUUUUGGCUAAGAUCAAGUGUAGUAUCUGUUCUUAUCAGUUUAAUAUCUGAUACGUCCCCUACCCGGGGACCAUAUAUUAAAUAGAUUUUUGGAACAGGGAGAUAGAAUAGGGGCUUGCUCCGUCCACUCCACGCAUCGACCUGGUAUUGCGGUAUCUCCAGGAAUGGUGCACUCCCU